UUCAAAUGCGAUAUAAUUUUGGCUUGGACCAUCUAAGCUGACUGACAUCAACUUGCUAUAAUUUCUGUUUACAUUACAUCGCAAUUCGAUGACGCUCUGGCUCAGACACCAGAAUGUUUUGACGAUUUUUAGCAUUCGUUUAGGAUUUUCAAACAACCUGGUCUCUUUUAAAAUCCCUUUAAUUUGUUCUUACGUGGUUUUCCAGAUGUAGUGACGACAACAUUAAAGUUUAAAGAAGAAAAUUCUAACAUUUAAACCGACUAAACAAUAACAUAGUAAACUUG